rnacentral:rRNA from 1 species
UGAGGAAUAUUGGUCAAUGGACGAGAGUCUGAACCAGCCAAGUAGCGUGCAGGAUGACGGCCCUAUGGGUUGUAAACUGCUUUUGUUUGGGAAUAAUCGACAUUACGUGUAAUGUUUUGCAUGUACCAUUCGAAUAAGGUCCGGCUAAUUCCGUGCCUGCAGCCGCGGUAAUACGGAAGGUCCAGGCGUUAUCCGGAUUUAUUGGGUUUAAAGGGAGUGUAGGCGGUUGGUUAAGCGAGUUGUGAAAUGUAGAUGCUCAACAUCUGACUUGCAGCGCGAACUGGCUGACUUGAGUACACACAACGUAGGCGGAAUUCAUGGUGUAGCGGUGAAAUGCUUAGAUAUCAUGAAGAACUCCGAAUGCGAAGGCAGCUUACGUGAGUGUUACUAAAGAUUAAGCUCGAAGGUGCAGGUAUCGAACAGG